AGGGUAAUAGCAUCGGGGAGUAGAGAAUGAGACAAGAUUCAACCCCCUUAUCUAUCUAUCUAUGGCGAGCACGGGACGAGCGAGCAGAAAAAGUGUAACGAAUCCAUCCCACCAGACCUUUUGGAUGGGACCCGUGUUGCUGGCACGAGAGGGAUCAAGGGACAGAUCGCCCUGAAUUAUAUGUUCCUCUAUCCAAUCCCACGGAGAGAGGUAUUGGCC
rnacentral:lncRNA from 1 species